AGGUGCACCAGCGGUGCCCCAUGUAGGACACACAUCCUUACUCGCAGACGUGAUGAAGUGAAGGAUCAGACCCUGCCUGAUGAAGUACGGAACGCCUGGGUUACCAACCCAACUGUAGGUAAUGGCUGUGUGCCCAGGGCAGGUGCUGCCACCGGCCUCAUUACCAGUAUAUCUCUCCAUGGUACAAAAGUAUUACAUAGAACAGAUCAUAUUCUGGAAAAAGAUGGGGGAAAGUUAGUACACAACACACAUCACAGAAACUAAAUCACAAAUUUGUCUCUGUACUUUCCAAAGAGAUGUGAUCACACUCACUUUGCAAAGUAAGAAUCACCAUUACUCAAAAGAAGCAAAAAUGUUCCCAGCUUAGAGAUCAUAGAACUUUCUUUCAUGGGCCUUGGGUAGUGAAUCUGUGAAAUGUAAUAAACAAUGUCCUUCUUAAUAAAAAAU